UCGUGAUGGAGGAUGAUGCGGCGGUUGC
rnacentral:piRNA from 1 species